CCCAGGCUAGUGCUUCUCCCUGGCGCCCCAGCUCGAGCUCCCCAGCUCCCUGCGGUUCCAUGGCAGCCAAGCUCCAGAUCCAUGGUCGUUGGCCCUCACCGGUCGUCUUCCUCCCUGCUCCCUCAAACAGCAGCAAUGGUGGCUGCACCCUCCCCUGCAUGUAACAUCCGGCCAAUGUUAGAGAUCACACUUAUCAGUACUAGUGAGUACGUAUUUGAAUUUGUAAUGGUGGUGGGCCGUACUAGGCCGUAGUGGGCUAUACGCAUGACAUUAGUAUAAGUAUGUUGUAAGACUUGAGAAAGGGCAUCGAAUGAAUAAUAGAAACCUUUCCAGAAUACUGUCAUCCUGUCAUCCUGGGUCUUUCUCAGGUACGGCGAGGAGCUCACGUCCCGGCGACGAUCGCCGGUGGCCAAGGGCGUGACAAGUGGUAUCAAAGCUCGUCUAUCCUUGGGCUCAUUUGCGACAGCGAGUUCGCAGAUCCCAUCGAUCGAGUUGGCAAACACGAGGCGAAGGCGGACGACGGAUCUCGAUUUGGGUUGUGCAACAAGUUUGCGUGGACCAUUUUCGGCGGCGGGCGGAGCGGGGCGCGCUCCCUCGGCGACGCUCUGUCUCGACGUCGACUCCACCUCGAAGACCAGGGUCUUCAGGCGCGGGUUCAUUCGUCGACCCUCAACGUUCGGCGACGCGUCUUCGUUGCUCGGCGACUUUCGUCGAGUGAUCGGCUUGGUGUUUCUGGCAGCGCAACGGAAGCGUGGUGGUGGCGGGAGAGAUAGUGCCUACAACCUGUUCGACGAAUUGCCUAGGUGUCGUUCACUUGGCUGGGUCUUCGACGCGGGCUUCAUUCUCCAUCGACGACUCGUGGCGUCGACAGCACAUUCUCAACUUUCAUCGAUCUCUGGUGGACGUCCGGUCGGUGGUGUAGGCUGCAGCGACCAGUGAAGUCGACGGUGGACGCAACUUCAGUUCUCGACCAUGGUGACAUUUGAACAGAAGGGUGUUGAGGGGUGGGAGAAGAGGAUAGAGAUGUUGGAUCGGUUGGGAAGUAGACUGGAGGUGAUGGAGGCAGAUCAAUUUCGACUCAAGGAGCGGGCGGAUCGUGCAGCCGCAGCGACGAGAAAGGUGGAGGCGAUGUCGUCGGGAAAAAAAUGAAGGGGACACUAGAGUGGUUCAACGCUACCACGGGUUCCGGAUUCGUCACUUCAGUCGACCAUGGCGAGUUCCUGUAUUUUCUACAACCGUCCCUCAACUCCCACGAGCUCUCAGGUGACCAGAACCUUAAGGUCGGUGAGGCAGUCGAGUUCGGCAUCAUGGGGGACAGGUAUGGCAGUAUUCUGGAAAGGUUUCUAUUAUUCAUUCGAUGCCCUUUCUCAAGUCUUACAACAUACUUAUACUAAUGUCAUGCGUAUAGCCCACUACGGCCUAGUACGGCCCACCACCAUUACAAAUUCAAAUACGUACUCACUAGUACUGAUAAGUGUGAUCUCUAACAUUGGCCGGAUGUUACACUGCAGCAGCCCGCUCCCUGCGCCGCCUGCCUCCCUUGGCCGAGCUCCUCCCAUGGUGUGCGGAUCUCAGCCCCUCGGCGUGCUCCCUAGCCGAACCUCUCCC
rnacentral:lncRNA from 1 species